rnacentral:rRNA from 1 species
CCUACGGGAGGCAGCAGUGGGGAAUAUUGCACAAUGGGGGAAACCCUGAUGCAGCGACGCCGCGUGAGUGAAGAAGUACUUCGUUAUGUAAAGCUCUAUCAGCAGGGAAGAAAAUGACGGUACCUGAGUAAGAAGGCCCGGCUAACUACGUACCAGGAGCCGCGGGAAUACGUAGGGGGCAAGCGUUAUCCGGAUUUAAGGGGUGUAAAGGGAGCGUAGACGGCAGUGCAAGGCUGGAGGGAAAGGCGGGGGCUCAACCCCCGGACUGCUCUGGAAACUGUACGGCUGGAGUGCAGGAGAGGUAAGUGGAAUGCGUGGUGUAGCGGUGAAAUGCGUAGAGAUACGGAGGAACACCAGUGGCGAAGGCGGCCUGCUGGACAUUAACUGACGCUGAGGCGCGAAAGCGUGGGGAGCGAACAGGAUUAGAUACCCGUGUAGUC